GCUGAAGGCAAUCUGUAAAAACAAGGGCCUGAACUGUCAGAUCGCCCAAGCACGGCCUCAUCUCUUGCCUCGGUGCUAAUGAGAGGUGAAGUUGUGCUGCCAGACACCCACUGGUCAGAGAAGGGAGGCAAAGGAGAGCUGAAGUGAUAAACUUCUCUAUUUAAAGUGACGUUUUCUGUGUUGAAACCACUCAGGUUCUGGCAGCCUUUGUAAUGUUAAAAGAGACACUAAAAAGGGAGAAAAAAUAAUAAACCCCUGCCUGAUUCUCAGAUGUCUGGUCCUUACUAUUUAAUUUUAAUACAAAUGUGACAUGGUUUAGUAUUCUGUCAGUUAAAUUCAAUUGUCAGGGUGAUGUGGAAGGGUGCCUGAACUGAAACCCCAGGUGGAAAACGAUCCACCCCUCCCAGUGGUUUUCCCAGACCUCACCCUGCAGUGAUGGACCAGCAGGGCACCAGCUUGGGAGGGCUGAGGGAAGCACAGAACCCUUCCUGAUCCCAGCAUUGCUUUUAUUUACUUCCCCCAUGUGCAGGAAAAGCAUGACAGGUGGAGUGGCUCCAGUGCUGUGUCAACCUCCUGCCUCUCACAUCAUGAGGUUUUCGUGGAGGUACAUCAAGUGCUGGAGUGAAGGGAAAUAAAAUAUAACGGCAGUUUUCUCUGCUAAUGGAAGAAGAAAAAAAACAGAGGGCAAAAAGGACAUAAUAUAUAUUUAAAAUGU
rnacentral:lncRNA from 1 species